rnacentral:rRNA from 1 species
AUUGAACGCUGGCGGCAGGCUUAACACAUGCAAGUCGAGCGGAGAUGAGGUGCUUGCACCUUAUCUUAGCGGCGGACGGGUGAGUAAUGCUUAGGAAUCUGCCUAUUAGUGGGGGACAACAUUCCGAAAGGAAUGCUAAUACCGCAUACGUCCUACGGGAGAAAGCAGGGGAUCUUCGGACCUUGCGCUAAUAGAUGAGCCUAAGUCGGAUUAGCUAGUUGGUGGGGUAAAGGCCUACCAAGGCGACGAUCUGUAGCGGGUCAGAGAGGAUGAUCCGCCACACUGGGACUGAGACACGGCCCAGACUCCUGCGGGAGGCAGCAGUGGGGAAUAUUGGACAAUGGGGGGAACCCUGAUCCAGCCAUGCCGCGUGUGUGAAGAAGGCCUUAUGGUUGUGAAGCACUUUAAGCGAGGAGGAGGCUACUGAGACUAAUACUCUUGGAUAGUGGACGUUACUCGCAGAAUAAGCACCGGCUAACUCCGUGCCAGCCGCCGCGGUAAAAC